AUUCGCCACUGGAGACCAUGCAUUGCAAGUGUGCGGUUGCUGAUAUACCAAUUACCAAGUCUUAUGACCCUAACCCUACAAGUUUCUACACCAAUAAUACUACAAGUUAGGUGAGAUGCUUUCCGUUUGAACUAUUUGUGAAUCCUUAAUUCAGUUUAUAAAUCACAAUCCAGUGGUUGUUGGCAAAAAUUAGACUCUCAACCCUAAUCACUUCUAUAUUAAUUGGCACAUGAUUAGUCUCUGCUAUAGUCUUUUGUUACAACUUAGUGUGAACGUAUCCCUUGAGUGGUUUAUGGGAGAAAUGGUUUCAGUGAGCUUCUAUUUUAAAUACGUUUUUCUUUGUAUGUGUGAAUUGCCUUAAAAAUACUUAUCAUAUCUGUCCUACUUAUGGUCGUCUGUUCACUCUUCUCCCAAUCUUCCUCCUUCAAACUCUGACAGGGCAGGACCAUGCAAACCUUCACAGUCCUCCUGAACUCCCCCCUCGUGCUGUCUCCUUCCACUAAUUACAUUCGGACCAACUGACAAACAAGUUCUUGUUCUUGGGUAUACCAAAUUCCACCUUGUUUCCUGUGGUUCGUGGCGUAGCACAUGCACCUUGCUGAUAAGCAGUAGAAUAUAGUGGAAAUAUACACUUAAAAUUGAUUCUUCACUUUUACAAGCUAAGGAAUGCAUGACGUCCUUUGUCAAACAGUUUACGUUUGCAGCCUCCUCUUUAUCCAAAAGUUGAAACAUAGCAGCUUCCCAUUUUCUACUCAUUGGCAUUGCCAGGGUAAUACUCCUGCUAUCUUUACCAUCCACUUGACAAUGUCAUUAAUCAAUUAGUUGGCAUGUACACGCACCAUAAUUUGGGCCAUUUUAGGUGGAUCUGGGGGAUAACAGUGUCAACAUCGCUGGGUAACUUAAUGCGAUAUGCCUUACAAAUGUUGAAUGUUGAUUAGGAUGGCAUCGCCAGAUUGAUUCCAAUGAGUGUAGCAAAGGGCAAAGUUAAUGUUGGGGGACCAGUACACCUACACUACUGGACAUAUUGAAUGCGUGCUUUUGCAACAUGGGAGGUCCUUCACCAGCUACUGUGGCACCACAAGAUGUCAAGGCGGGACUGGACAUAUUAGGAGCACUAAUUGUCAUAAUAUUUUAGCUUUGCUGUGCGGAGCCCAUUUAUUAUGUUUUGAUGGAUGGAGACCUGAAGUGGCGAUCACCUUUUUCUGAUAACAAGGACAUGACCAGAAAGGCAAACUGAUUUGUUUGUAUCUAAGCAUCCCAGCUCAGUAGGGAUCUCGCUAUACUGGCAUCGCUUUUGCUUCUGGCCACCACCAUUGGAUUUCACCAAGGUCUUAAUCAGGUA